CCUACGGGUGGCAGCAGUAGGGAAUCUUUCACAAUGGGCGAAAGCCUGAUGGAGCAACGCCGCGUGCAGGAUGAAGGCCUUCGGGUUGUAAACUGCUUUUAUAAGCGAGAAAUAUGAUGGUAACUUAUGAAUAAGGAUCGGCUAACUACGUGCCAGCAGCCGCGGUCAUACGUAGGAUCCGAGCAUUAUCCGGAGUGACUGGGUGUAAAGAGUUGCGUAGGUGGCAUAAUAAGUAGCUAGUGAAAUCUGGUGGCUCAACCAUUAAGACUAUUAGCGAAACUGUUAAGCUCGAGACCGUUAGGGGUAACUGGAAUUUCUAGUGUAGGAGUGAAAUCCGUAGAUAUUAGAAGGAACACCAAUAGCGUAGGCAGGUUGCUGGGACGGUUCUGACACUAAGGCACGAAAGCGUAGGGAGCAAACGGGAUUAGAUACCCCAGUAGUC
rnacentral:rRNA from 1 species